AAUCUAGUUGGGAGCAUUCCUUCUUGGGUCAACGGAACAAGUUUACAGCUUAAUUUAGUUGCCAACAACUUCACCCUUGACAGUUCAAACAGCAGGAAGCUGUCAAGGGACAAUUAUGGAGAUUACGUGAUCCCCAGGGGAAGCCACCAGGUGUAAUGCAGUAGUACAGCUAGCUAGUUUGUAUAUUUAACUUGUGUCUAGUAGAAAUUCUUCCUUCAUUAAGUAUUUGGACUUGUCUGCAGAUUCAAAUGAGUAGAUAUGGGCAAUUUUGA